CUGUCGAUCUAUGAGGUCUCACUCAUCUUUCUAGUGAGAUUUCAAGAUAUGGUGCAUACAGGAAAAGCUGUUUUACAGCAGCGGCCAGACAACCGUAGAGAUAGAUCCACAGGUGAGUGGUUUGGAUACCAUUUGUCUACUGAUUCUAUCUCACAUCA